rnacentral:lncRNA from 1 species
CAUUCAGAGCAAGUCCCCUUGUUAUCAAUGUCAGCUGGGCCUGAGUCAGGGUUUAGUGCAAGAUUGGAUGACAUGUAUCCUGGCUUCCAAAGGAAAAUGGCUGAGCUGUACUGUGCUUUCAGUGUUUCUGUUCCAUUCUUCCGGGAACAGAAUUUAUCUCACCAGGAGAGAAGUUGUGAAGUCUCUUUAAGGCUGUAUUUCCUGCUGGGUUGUUAAACACAGUGGGGACACCCAACUUGGAGGGUUCUGGUAUUUUUGUUUACAGUUCUUACUCUGCUUUUAACCCAACAAAUAUGAACCAAUAAAUAUCAACCUCUUAUUUCACUGGU